rnacentral:rRNA from 1 species
CCUACGGGAGGCAGCAGUGGGGAAUAUUGCACAAUGGGGGAAACCCUGAUGCAGCGACGCCGCGUGAGUGAAGAAGUAUUUCGGUUUGUAAAGCUCUAUCAGCAGGGAAGAAAAUGACGGUACCUGAUUAAGAAGCCCCGGCCAAAUACGUGCCAGCCGCCGCGGGAAUACGUAGGGGGCAAGCGUUGUCCGGAUUUACUGGGGGUAAAGGGAGCGUAGGCGGGGAUGCAAGUCAGAAGUGAAAGCCCCGGGCUCAACUUCGGGACUGCCGUUGAAACUGGGUGACUGGAGUGCAGGAGAGGUAGGCGGAAUUCCUGGUGUAGCGGUGAAAUGCGUAGAUAUCAGGAGGAACACCAGUGGCGAAGGCGGCUUACUGGACUUUAACUGACGUUGAGGCUCGAAAGCGUGGGGAGCAAACAGGAUUAGAUACCCUGGUAGUC